rnacentral:rRNA from 1 species
AGCUUGCUGGAACUAGUAAAGUGGCGCACGGGUGAGUAACGCGUGGGUAAUCUACCUCCGAAUUGGGGAUAACAUUGCGAAAGCGAUGCUAAUACCGAAUAAUAUCUCAAUUACUUAAGUUUUUGAGAUCAAGGGUGGCCUCUCCUUGGAAGCUUCUGUUUGGAGAUGAGCCCGCGUACCAUUAGCUUGUUGGUAGGGUAAUGGCCUACCAAGGCAACGAUGGUUAGCUGGUCUGAGAGGAUGAUCAGCCACACUGGAACUGACACACGGUCCAGACUCCUACGGGAGGCAGCAGUGAGGAAUUUUGCGCAAUGGGGGAAACCCUGACGCAGCAACGCCGCGUGAGUGAUGAAGGCUUUCGGGUCGUAAAGCUCUGUCAAGUGGGAAGAACCUGCCUUUUGCUAAUAUCAAUCGGCACUGACGGUACCACUGAAGGAAGCACCGGCUAACUCCGUGCCAGCAGCCGCGGUAAUAC